rnacentral:tRNA from 1 species
GUGAGUGUAGCUCAGUUGGUAGAGCAUUUGAUUGUGGUUCAAAAAGUCGCGAGUUCAAGCCUCGUCACUCACCC